rnacentral:lncRNA from 1 species
GUCGCUUCUCUUCUUUCCACAAUACAUUAAUCGUCAUAUCUCUUUGUCCUAUAGGUACAGUGCAUAAUCGCAUUUGUCAUCCAUUCAUAUGAUUAUUCAGAUUGAGUUAUUUUGGGAGAAAAAGGAGAAAAAAAAGCCGUCCGAAUAUGUUUCCAUCAUUGGACGAAAUUUUAAGUCAGAUUAUACUUCCGGUUUGCGUUUUUCUGUAUACUUUCAAC